rnacentral:tRNA from 1 species
CAUGAUGUUUAGGUGUAUAUCCUUAAGCCAUGGUCUUGUCACCUUAGGUCGAUCGGUACCUCAGAUCAAUUUUCAGACUUUGAAUUAAUUUCGAUAACUGGAGAUAGGUUUCAGUUCCUAAACUUUGUCUAGGUCACACCCAACAAGGGUAAUCCUGGGCCAUUAGCUCAGGUGGUUAGAGCGCACCCCUGAUAAGGGUGAGGUCCCUGGUUCAAGUCCAGGAUGGCCCAUUCCAUUCAGUUUUGGGGGUAUAGCUCAGUUGGUAGAGCGCCUGCUUUGCAAGCAGGAUGUCAGCGGUUCGAGUCCGCUUACCUCCACUGAUCUAACUCCUUGAUUGAAAUUACGGAGGGAUCCUUUGUAACUUGUGACUUAGAUUUUUUGUCCGCUAGGCGAACCUAGCUUCCUAUCAUUCCAGUUUUUAGUAAGGCUGACAGGACGCUAGGCUCACUGUAAUUCAAUUGAAUUACAGAGAUGGUUGGCAGAACCUUGACAACUGCAUAGGAAAGUCUGGAAAGAAUAAAGCAUCUCAUAGAUGCAUUAUUCUUUGACUCAUAAUAUUAAAUUGGUAGCUCAGUUAAGUGGAUUUGUCUAUCACUAAUCUUCAAUUGAUUGAGUUUAGGACCCGAGUAUCAGAGCUGAUUC